rnacentral:rRNA from 1 species
GUCUGAGGCCAUAUCACCCUGAAUAUGCUCAAUCUCGAGAGCUAAGCAGGGUCAGGCCUGGUUAGCACUUAGAUCUUCAGAAGAGACUGCUCAGAGACAAGCAGUUUGGAGACA